rnacentral:lncRNA from 1 species
UUUUGGGGUUGGUUAUGGGAUUUUGGGGGUCGGUUAUGGGGGUCAGUUGUGGGGUUUGGGGUCACUUGGGUUGGUUAUGGGGUCAGUCAGUUGGGGUGAUAGGGUCGGUUAUGGGGCUUGGGGUCAUUUGGCUUGUUGGUUAUGGGGUUUUGGGGAUGGUUAUGGGGUUUGGGGUCAGUUAUGGGGUUUUGGGGUCACUUGGGUUGUUGGUUAUGGGGUCAGUUAUGGGGUUUGGGGUCACUUGGGUUGUUGGUUAUGGGGCUUUGGGGAUGGUUAUGGGGUUUGGGGUCAGUUAUGGGGUUUGGGGUCACUUGUGGGGUUAGUUGGGGUGAUAGGGUCAGUUAUGGGGUGUGGGGUCACUUGUGGGGUUGGUUAUGGGGUCUGGGGGGUCGGUUAUGGGGGUCAGUUGUGGGGUUUGGGGUCUUCCUCCCAAGCGUUGCCCGUUGCCAUAGCAACCGCCGCCGGGGGGGGGGGCUUUGAGGUGCAGGGUAAGAGACCCCGCGCUGGGCGUCGCCAUCUUGGAAGCGGGAGCCGCCAUCUUGGGAGCGAGCGGCGCCAUCUUGGAGUCGGGCGCCGCCAUCUUGAGUGGGCGGUGCGUGGAAGAGCUCCGGGAUCGGGGGGUGGGGGGGGAGGGGAAAGGCCACGUGACCCACAGCGUCGCCCCACAUCUCUGCCCCACAUUGACCCCAUCGUGCCCCACACAUCCCAGCCCCACGCAUCCCAGCCCCACACGUCUCUGCCCCACACAUCCAUGGGGUUUAUUGUUGGAAUGUGCCGCGGUUGGGGGUCAGGAGCUGGCGCAUGUGGGGCGCUGCCGGGGGGGGGCAGGCACUGCGGUGGCGUCGGUGGUGACGUCAGAGGUGACGUCACCGGUGGCACUGGUGACGUCGGCGGUGACCUCGGCCGUGACGUC